rnacentral:lncRNA from 1 species
CCCCGGCCUCAGCUGAACCACCGCCCAGAGUGUCGUACCAAGUGACCCGACAGGGCGAGCGUCUGAACGGCUGCUGGGUCCCGUGCUGUCGGGAGGAAGUGGGCGAAGGCGAAUAUGCUAGGCCAGAUUGUUGAGCAGAUAAGCUCAGGGUGGUGUUGGGAAGGCCCCUGGGAUCGGUCCCCGGGGUCCGUUGGCUGCUUCUAGAAGCAUCCGCGGUAACCAGGGAGGUGAAUGAGUGAGGGGUCCUGGGAAAACUGAGCAAAAGCUCAGUCAGCAGGGUGGCUGGCUUGUUGAGAUCGCUGAGACCAGCCAGAGUUUGACAUAGGCGUGCUGAGAAAGGUAGAUAGCUGCCCUUCCAGUGCUUAGAUGAAAUUUAAGUAUUUAGGAACUUAGAUAUAAAAAGCACAGGGUUUGCCUGGGAGUAGUGGCACAUGAGUUAACUAGUCUAUGUAGUGCCAGGACAGCCUAUGCUAUAUAAUAGACCCUGUCUCAAAAGGCUGGGAGAGCUUGUUGUUGUACCCCUGUGAUCCCUGUCUUGGAGACCAGAAGGAUUAGAAGAUACAGUUAAUCCUUGGCUGCAUAGCUUUGAGGAAGUCCCUGCCUGAAAGCGCGAUAAGGUAUUUGCAAAUUCAUCUUCCUGGAUGAGAAUUUCUUGAAGUCGGUCAUGCGUAUAAACCAAGUGUGGUAGUGAACGCUUGUCAUCCCAGCAUUCUGCAGGCUGAGACAGGAGAAUCUUGAGGGCUUCAGAAAUUCACCAGCAUUGCUAAGAAAUCGUCUCCCCAGCCCCCAGCCUGGCAUCUCCCCGACCUCUGAAGAAGGGAAGAGUUCAGCCCUCUAGAGUUACAGCCUAAAGAGCUUGAUUCCUCCAAGGCUGAUGAGCUCUGGUGACCAGUGCUGGCCAGACUAUAAUAAUUAAGAACUCAGAGAUAGCGGACAAUGGUGGCACACACCUUUAAUCCCAGCAGAGACAGAUGCAUCUCUAAGUUCAAGACCAGCCUGGUCUUCGAAGUGAGUUCCAGGACAGCCAGGGCUACACAGAGAAAUCCUGUCUCUGGGAGGAUGGGGGAACCCCUAAAGAUGACUUUGCUGAGCUGGAUUCAGCCCAUCUGGUAUUUUCUUGCUGUGUGAAUAAAACUUCUGGGUUUGACUUGUUUUUGUGCAGUUUCCCUUUUCUUCAGCUUAGAUACAUGGGUUUGGAGUUUACCACCCUGCCGGAGAGCUUCAGGACAUUUUCAGCCCAGUGACUGUGCUACAUGAGCUCAUCUGCCUUCUCAGAGUCUCGCGCUCUCCUGCAGCCGGGAUUCAUGAGAGCUCUACUCUGACAGCCCCAAGGAGCUGCUGCUACCCAUCUGGUGUCCUGAUGCCACCAGCAUCAUCCACGAAAUCUGUGGAUUGGCCCACUGCUGCCACUGAUUGCCUUCAGGCAAGUGGUCUCACCCCAUCUUAGGACAGCUCUCUCCUGCAGAGCCGUUCUGAGGUUUUUCAGGAGCUACUGUGUGGAAAGCACCUGGCAACAUAGAAGGCAUCUGGGGCGUUCAGGUCUCCAGCCAGACCUUCUUCCCACCAUGGCUUCCUGAAGUUGGCCAGGUCUCCUUCCACUCCCUGUAGUCAUUCAACAGUUACUCUUUAAUUACCUACUUUAUCUAAGGUAGAGCAUUUUCCCGGAGCUGGGAGCCAGCAUCUGUAACAUACAUGUGGCCUGAGUUUGAUGCUCAGCCAUGGGAGAGGGCAGGUAAAAAAACAUUCUCCAAACUUUCUGGGUAAUGUAGUUGGGAAGUGGUUGUUUUCGGUGUUUAAUGCAUCAGUUGACUUUUA